UACAUAUAUACAUAUCUCUGAUCCAUACACUUAUUACAGCAGCCUUUCAGUUUUUCUAAGCCAUUUAAAAGAACUUGGAAGGUUGGGCCUCCAACCAGGCUUUU